GAGUUUUGAUAGAAUCCGUAGAUGAUCUCACACCCACAAAGCUGAUCAUUUUCAGUGUCCUCCUAUUUGAGAAACAGAUCUAAAUUGUUGGCAUAGUUACCCUUUCCGGUUUGAGCAUUAGCCAACAGCAUGACCGCAUCUAAAUAACCCUCCACCAAAAUAAAAGGACUGGCUGCUCAACAGUCCAGCAGCCCACAGGCUGAGGGGCAACAGA
rnacentral:lncRNA from 1 species